GACGAACGCUGGCGGCGUGCUUAACACAUGCAAGUCGAACGGAAAGGCCCUGCUUUUGUGGGGUGCUCGAUUGGCGAACGGGUGAGUAACACGUGAGUAACCUGCCCUUGUCUUUGGGGUAACUUCAGGAAACUGGGGCUAAUACCGGGUAUGAUCUCCUGCAGCAUGGGGGGGGUUGGAAAGUUUCGGCGGUUGGGUAUGGGCUCGCGGCUUAUCCGCUUGUUGGUGGGGUAGUGGCGUACCAAGGCUUUGACGGGUAGCCGGCCUGAGAGGGUGACCGGCCACAUUGGGACUGAGGUACGGCCCAGACUCCUACGGGAGGCAGCGGUGGGGAAUAUUGCACAAUGGGCGGAAGCCUGAUGCAGCAACGCCGCGUGCGGGAUGACGGCCUUCGGGUUGUAAACCGCUUUCGCCUGUGACGAAGCGUGAGUGACGGUAAUGGGUAAAGAAGCACCGGCUAACUACGUG
rnacentral:rRNA from 1 species